AAUUAAUACCAAUAGAAGGGCAAUGCUUUUAGAUUAAAAUGAAGGUGACUUAAACAGCUUAAAGUUUAGUUUAAAAGUUGUAGGUGAUUAAAAUAAUUUGAAGGCGAUCUUUUAAAAAGAGAUUAAACCGAAGGUGAUUAAAAGACCUUGAAAUCCAUGACGCAGGGAGAAUUGCGUCAUUUAAAGCCUAGUUAACGCAUUUACUAAACGCAGACGAAAAUGGAAAGAUUAAUUGGGAGUGGUAGGAUGAAACAAUUUGGAGAAGAUAGAAGUUUGAAGUGGAAAACUGGAAGACAGAAGUACGGGAAGGCGAAGAAAAGAAUAGAGAAGAUAGGGAAAUUAGAAGAUAAAAACAUACUUUUAGAAGAAAAAAGAUAAAUUUAAACCUGAAAAGUAGGAAGCAGAAGAAAAAAGACAAGCUAGGAAACAAAAAGCUAAGGGCAAAAUGUACAAACUUAGAAGAAAAUUGGAAGAUAGAAACAAGAUAGAAAAUGAAAAUAUUGUCAAGAGUUUCAGAUAGAAAAUGAAAAACAAGCUAAGACAAGUAUUGGAGAAGUAUAGAAGAUAGAAAAAUAUAAAGCCAAAAAUUGGAUAAAAUAGCACUGAAAAAAUGAGGAAAUUAUUGGUAACCAAUUUAUUUUAAAAGCCCAUCAAUUUAAUUUCUGGUGGUGCAGAAGUUAGAAGGUAAAGCUUGAGAAGAUGAGGGUGUUUACGUAGACCAGAACCAAUUUAGAAGAAUACUUGAAGCUAGAAGGGGAAGUUGGUUAAAAAUCACAUCAAAAAGCUACUAAAAGGACUGGUGUAAUUUAAAAAAAACUAAGGCAGAAGGCUUUUGGAAGAGUUAGAAGAAUUUGGAAGGCCUUAAAUAUAGUAGCUUAGUUUGAAAAAUGUGAAGGACUUUCGUAACGGAAGUAAUUCAAGAUCAAGAGUAAUUACCAACUUAAUGUUUUUGCAUUGGACUUUGAGUUAAGAUUAUUUUUUAAAUCCUGAGGACUAGCAUUAAUUGACAGCUGACCCAGGUGCUACACAGAAGUGGAUUCAGUGAAUCUAGGAAGACAGCAGCAGACAGGAUUCCAGGAACCAGUGUUUGAUGAAGCUAGGACUGAGGAGCAAGCGAGCAAGCAGCAGUUCGUGGUGAAGAUAGGAAAAGAGUCCAGGAGCCAGUGCGAUUUGGUGAAGGAAGCUAGGAAGAAGGAAGGAGCGCUAACGAUUUGGUGGUGAAGCUAGGAAAAAGGAUUCCAGGAAGGAGCGAGUGCAAUUUGGUGAUGAAGGUAGCAGGCGGCUUGGCUUGGCAACCACACGGAGGAGGCGAGCAGGCGUUGUGCGUAGAGGAUCCUAGACCAGCAUGCCAGUGUGCCAAGGCCACAGGGAAAGCGAGUGGUUGGUAAAAAUCCGUGAGGUCGGCAAUAUGUUGUUUUUCUGGAACUUACUUAUGGUAACCUUUUAUUUAUUUUCUAAUAUAAUGGGGGAGUUUCGUACUGAGGUGUAAAGGGAUUUAUAUGGGGACGUAGGCCGAUUUCCGGGUGUUGUAGGUUUCUCUUUUUCAGGCUUAUACUCAUGAAUCUUGUCUGAAGCUUUUGAGGGCAGACUGCCAAGUCCUGGAGAAAUAGUAGAUGGCAAGUUUGUGGGUUUUUUUUUUUUACACGAAUUUGAGGAAAACCAAAUGAAUUUGAUAGCCAAAUUGAGACAAUUUCAGCAAAUCUGUAAGCAGUUUGUAUGUUUAGUUGGGGUAAUGAAGUAUUUCAGUUUUGUGAAUAGAUGACCUGUUUUUACUUCCUCACCCUGAAUUCGUUUUGUAAAUGUAGAGUUUGGAUGUGUAACUGAGGCGGGGGGGAGUUUUCAGUAUUUUUUUUUGUGGGGGUGGGGGCAAAAUAUGUUUUCAGUUCUUUUUCCCUUAGGUCUGUCUAGAAUCCUAAAGGCAAAUGACUCAAGGUGUAACAGAAAACAAGAAAAUCCAAUAUCAGGAUAAUCAGACCACCACAGGUUUACAGUUUAUAGAAACUAGAGCAGUUCUCACGUUGAGGUCUGUGGAAGAGAUGUCCAUUGGAGAAAUGGCUGGUAGUUACUCUUUUUUCCCCCCACCCCCUUAAUCAGACUUUAAAAGUGCUUAACCCCUUAAACUUGUUAUUUUUUACUUGAAGCAUUUUGGGAUGGUCUUAACAGGGAAGAGAGAGGGUGGGGGAGAAAAUGUUUUUUUCUAAGAUUUUCCACAGAUGCUAUAGUACUAUUGACAAACUGGGUUAGAGAAGGAGUGUACCGCUGUGCUGUUGGCACGAACACCUUCAGGGACUGGAGCUGCUUUUAUCCUUGGAAGAGUAUUCCCAGUUGAAGCUGAAAAGUACAGCACAGUGCAGCUUUGGUUCAUAUUCAGUCAUCUCAGGAGAACUUCAGAAGAGCUUGAGUAGGCCAAAUGUUGAAGUUAAGUUUUCCAAUAAUGUGACUUCUUAAAAGUUUUAUUAAAGGGGAGGGGCAAAUAUUGGCAAUUAGUUGGCAGUGGCCUGUUACGGUUGGGAUUGGUGGGGUGGGUUUAGGUAAUUGUUUAGUUUAUGAUUGCAGAUAAACUCAUGCCAGAGAACUUAAAGUCUUAGAAUGGAAAAAGUAAAGAAAUAUCAACUUCCAAGUUGGCAAGUAACUCCCAAUGAUUUAGUUUUUUUCCCCCCAGUUUGAAUUGGGAAGCUGGGGGAAGUUAAAUAUGAGCCACUGGGUGUACCAGUGCAUUAAUUUGGGCAAGGAAAGUGUCAUAAUUUGAUACUGUAUCUGUUUUCCUUCAAAGUAUAGAGCUUUUGGGGAAGGAAAGUAUUGAACUGGGGGUUGGUCUGGCCUACUGGGCUGACAUUAACUACAAUUAUGGGAAAUGCAAAAGUUGUUUGGAUAUGGUAGUGUGUGGUUCUCUUUUGGAAUUUUUUUCAGGUGAUUUAAUAAUAAUUUAAAACUACUAUAGAAACUGCAGAGCAAAGGAAGUGGCUUAAUGAUCCUGAAGGGAUUUCUUCUGAUGGUAGCUUUUGUAUUAUCAAGUAAGAUUCUAUUUUCAGUUGUGUGUAAGCAAGUUUUUUUUUAGUGUAGGAGAAAUACUUUUCCAUUGUUUAACUGCAAAACAAGAUGUUAAGGUAUGCUUCAAAAAUUUUGUAAAUUGUUUAUUUUAAACUUAUCUGUUUGUAAAUUGUAACUGAUUAAGAAUUGUGAUAGUUCAGCUUGAAUGUCUCUUAGAGGGUGGGCUUUUGUUGAUGAGGGAGGGGAAACUUUUUUUUUUUCUAUAGACUUUUUUCAGAUAACAUCUUCUGAGUCAUAACCAGCCUGGCAGUAUGAUGGCCUAGAUGCAGAGAAAACAGCUCCUUGGUGAAUUGAUAAGUAAAGGCAGAAAAGAUUAUAUGUCAUACCUCCAUUGGGGAAUAAGCAUAACCCUGAGAUUCUUACUACUGAUGAGAACAUUAUCUGCAUAUGCCAAAAAAUUUUAAGCAAAUGAAAGCUACCAAUUUAAAGUUACGGAAUCUACCAUUUUAAAGUUAAUUGCUUGUCAAGCUAUAACCACAAAAAUAAUGAAUUGAUGAGAAAUACAAUGAAGAGGCAAUGUCCAUCUCAAAAUACUGCUUUUACAAAAGCAGAAUAAAAGCGAAAAGAAAUGAAAAUGUUACACUACAUUAAUCCUGGAAUAAAAGAAGCCGAAAUAAAUGAGAGAUGAGUUGGGAUCAAGUGGAUUGAGGAGGCUGUGCUGUGUGCCAAUGUUUCGUUUGCCUCAGACAGGUAUCUCUUCGUUAUCAGAAGAGUUGCUUCAUUUCAUCUGGGAGCAGAAAACAGCAGGCAGCUGUUAACAGAUAAGUUUAACUUGCAUCUGCAGUAUUGCAUGUUAGGGAUAAGUGCUUAUUUUUAAGAGCUGUGGAGUUCUUAAAUAUCAACCAUGGCACUUUCUCCUGACCCCUUCCCUAGGGGAUUUCAGGAUUGAGAAAUUUUUCCAUCGAGCCUUUUUAAAAUUGUAGGACUUGUUCCUGUGGGCUUCAGUGAUGGGAUAGUACACUUCACUCAGAGGCAUUUGCAUCUUUAAAUAAUUUCUUAAAAGCCUCUAAAGUGAUCAGUGCCUUGAUGCCAACUAAGGAAAUUUGUUUAGCAUUGAAUCUCUGAAGGCUCUAUGAAAGGAAUAGCAUGAUGUGCUGUUAGAAUCAGAUGUUACUGCUAAAAUUUACAUGUUGUGAUGUAAAUUGUGUAGAAAACCAUUAAAUCAUUCAAAAUAAUAAACUAUUUUUAUUAGAGAAUGUAUACUUUUAGAAAGCUGUCUCCUUAUUUAAAUAAAAUAGUGUUUGUCUGUAGUUCAGUGUUGGGGCAAUCUUGGGGGGGAUUCUUCUCUAAUCUUUCAGAAACUUUGUCUGCGAACACUCUUUAAUGGACCAGAUCAGGAUUUGAGCGGAAGAACGAAUGUAACUUUAAGGCAGGAAAGACAAAUUUUAUUCUUCAUAAAGUGAUGAGCAUAUAAUAAUUCCAGGCACAUGGCAAUAGAGGCCCUCUAAAUAAGGAAUAAAUAACCUCUUAGACAGGUGGGAGAUUAUGAUCAGAGUAAAAGGUAAUUACACAUUUUAUUUCCAGAAAGUCAGGGGUCUAUAAAUUGACAGUGAUUAGAGUAAUACUUUUUCACAUUUCCAAAGUUUGCAUGUUAACUUUAAAUGCUUACAAUCUUAGAGUGGUAGGCAAUGUUUUACACUAUUGACCUUAUAUAGGGAAGGGAGGGGGUGCCUGUGGGGUUUUAAAGAAUUUUCCUUUGCAGAGGCAUUUCAUCCUUCAUGAAGCCAUUCAGGAUUUUGAAUUGCAUAUGAGUGCUUGGCUCUUCCUUCUGUUCUAGUGAGUGUAUGAGACCUUGCAGUGAGUUUAUCAGCAUACUCAAAAUUUUUUUCCUGGAAUUUGGAGGGAUGGGAGGAGGGGGUGGGGCUUACUUGUUGUAGCUUUUUUUUUUUUUACAGACUUCACAGAGAAUGCAGUUGUCUUGACUUCAGGUCUGUCUGUUCUGUUGGCAAGUAAAUGCAGUACUGUUCUGAUCCCGCUGCUAUUAGAAUGCAUUGUGAAACGACUGGAGUAUGAUUAAAAGUUGUGUUCCCCAAUGCUUGGAGUAGUGAUUGUUGAAGGAAAAAAUCCAGCUGAGUGAUAAAGGCUGAGUGUUGAGGAAAUUUCUGCAGUUUUAAGCAGUCGUAUUUGUGAUUGAAGCUGAGUACAUUUUGCUGGUGUAUUUUUAGGUAAAAUGCUUUUUGUUCAUUUCUGGUGGUGGGAGGGGACUGAAGCCUUUAGUCUUUUCCAGAUGCAACCUUAAAAUCAGUGACAAGAAACAUUCCAAACAAGCAACAGUCUUCAAGAAAUUAAACUGGCAAGUGGAAAUGUUUAAACAGUUCAGUGAUCUUUAGUGCAUUGUUUAUGUGUGGGUUUCUCUCUCCCCUCCCUUGGUCUUAAUUCUUACAUGCAGGAACACUCAGCAGACACACGUAUGCGAAGGGCCAGAGAAGCCAGACCCAGUAAGAAAAAAUAGCCUAUUUACUUUAAAUAAACCAAACAUUCCAUUUUAAAUGUGGGGAUUGGGAACCACUAGUUCUUUCAGAUGGUAUUCUUCAGACUAUAGAAGGAGCUUCCAGUUGAAUUCACCAGUGGACAAAAUGAGGAAAACAGGUGAACAAGCUUUUUCUGUAUUUACAUACAAAGUCAGAUCAGUUAUGGGACAAUAGUAUUGAAUAGAUUUCAGCUUUAUGCUGGAGUAACUGGCAUGUGAGCAAACUGUGUUGGCGUGGGGGUGGAGGGGUGAGGUGGGCGCUAAGCCUUUUUUUAAGAUUUUUCAGGUACCCCUCACUAAAGGCACCGAAGGCUUAAAGUAGGACAACCAUGGAGCCUUCCUGUGGCAGGAGAGACAACAAAGCGCUAUUAUCCUAAGGUCAAGAGAAGUGUCAGCCUCACCUGAUUUUUAUUAGUAAUGAGGACUUGCCUCAACUCCCUCUUUCUGGAGUGAAGCAUCCGAAGGAAUGCUUGAAGUACCCCUGGGCUUCUCUUAACAUUUAAGCAAGCUGUUUUUAUAGCAGCUCUUAAUAAUAAAGCCCAAAUCUCAAGCGGUGCUUGAAGGGGAGGGAAAGGGGGAAAGCGGGCAACCACUUUUCCCUAGCUUUUCCAGAAGCCUGUUAAAAGCAAGGUCUCCCCACAAGCAACUUCUCUGCCACAUCGCCACCCCGUGCCUUUUGAUCUAGCACAGACCCUUCACCCCUCACCUCGAUGCAGCCAGUAGCUUGGAUCCUUGUGGGCAUGAUCCAUAAUCGGUUUCAAGGUAACGAUGGUGUCGAGGUCUUUGGUGGGUUGAACUAUGUUAGAAAAGGCCAUUAAUUUGCCUGCAAAUUGUUAACAGAAGGGUAUUAAAACCACAGCUAAGUAGCUCUAUUAUAAUACUUAUCCAGUGACUAAAACCAACUUAAACCAGUAAGUGGAGAAAUAACAUGUUCAAGAACUGUAAUGCUGGGUGGGAACAUGUAACUUGUAGACUGGAGAAGAUAGGCAUUUGAGUGGCUGAGAGGGCUUUUGGGUGGGAAUGCAAAAAUUCUCUGCUAAGACUUUUUCAGGUGAACAUAACAGACUUGGCCAAGCUAGCAUCUUAGCGGAAGCUGAUCUCCAAUGCUCUUCAGUAGGGUCAUGAAGGUUUUUCUUUUCCUGAGAAAACAACACGUAUUGUUUUCUCAGGUUUUGCUUUUUGGCCUUUUUCUAGCUUAAAAAAAAAAAAAGCAAAAGAUGCUGGUGGUUGGCACUCCUGGUUUCCAGGACGGGGUUCAAAUCCCUGCGGCGUCUUUGCUUUGACUACUAAUCUGUCUUCAGGACUCUUUCUGUAUUUCUCCUUUUCUCUGCAGGUGCUAGUUCUUGGAGUUUUGGGGAGGUGGGAGGUAACAGCACAAUAUCUUUGAACUAUAUACAUCCUUGAUGUAUAAUUUGUCAGGAGCUUGACUUGAUUGUAUAUUCAUAUUUACACGAGAACCUAAUAUAACUGCCUUGUCUUUUUCAGGUAAUAGCCUGCAGCUGGUGUUUUGAGAAGCCCUACUGCUGAAAACUUAACAAUUUUGUGUAAUAAAAAUGGAGAAGCUC
rnacentral:lncRNA from 1 species